rnacentral:lncRNA from 1 species
UAUUUUUAAUAAAGAAUUUACCCAUUUGAUUAAAUAACCAAACUAUUAUAUACAUUGUUAUUAUUAUUAUUAUUUUUUGCUAUUAAAUUCUUACCUGAUCCCUAAAAAUACUUGUUAUACUGAAGAAUGAGAAUCUUGUUCCUCCCAUUUCAAUUGUCCCACUAAUUUCACAUUUAUAUAGUGGGAAACAUGUUGAAGAAAAGUAUUAAAAUAUUUUAAAGCCACAUGGGAUUAUUAAAACCUGGAAUGAGUCCUCUAAAUCAUUGAGGCAACUGUUCAUCAGAUGCUUUUCCUUAAAAAGAAGAAGAAAAAGAAGAAGAAAAAAACCCACCAACUUUGUACUUACUGGAGACCUAUAAUUCACAGCUGUUAUUUUAAGCAAUGUUCCUGGAGAACGGUCAGAGGAAUAUACUGGAACAUUGGAAGAAGAAGAAAUUAGCCAAAUUCAUCAUUUGCAUUUAAUUUUGCAUUUUCAUUCAAUUAAUUCCCCUUACUUGUCUAGCAAGACUGAACUCCUUUUAAAAGUCAUAAUUUCUUUCAGCUCAGCGUAAAUUAUGAUGCCUGAGAAUCUUGGACUAUGAAUAAUGUGGCCUAUUUUGGGGGGCUACUGUCUGUUAGUUUUGGAUGGGAAAUACAAAAGCAUUUUACACACUCAAAGCAAAGAUAGUGAGUGUUGAAAGUAAUCAAUGACUUCCUUUCAUUUCCUCUAAAUGACAAGCUUAACAAUUGCCAUGGAACUCACCAGUGCAUUCUGGAAAUCUCAUUCUGUCAUCAUAAAACUCUGACUAUAGCAACAUCUGUCUAGAGCUGGACAGAGCCCCAGUGACCCUGUGCUAACAUUGUAUCCCUGGUGGUCAGAAAGCAAGCAAGAAAGACAGUUUCAUCAUCCAUAAGACUGUUGUUUUUAUCUGAAGAAUGGAGACUGCACUCCUAAUGUUAUUAUGUGGAUUCAAGGAUGGAAUAAAAGUUAAAGCAACUAGCAUAAAAGUUCUGUUGAGGUGCUUGGGGGGAGUCGAGGCAGCAGCAGCCUGUCUUGGAAACACAAUGGAUGACAAGAUCCACAUAAGAGAAAAAAAACAAAAAACAAAACAAAACAAAACAAAACCCCCAACAACCUAAAAAGUGCUGAGUUCUUGCUAAUAUUAUCCUAAUACUGAAUGAUUUCUAUCUGCAUUUCUCUCAAUUAGAAUAAAAAUCCUUAUGUUGCUUAUGCA